rnacentral:rRNA from 1 species
UCAAUUUAAUUUGAAUUGACAAAUUUAUUUAGUUUUUAAAUUUAUAUAUAUAUUAAUAAAAGAAAUUUUAUUUAAUUAUUAUUUUAGAAUAAAUAUUUUUUAUUAUAGUUAAAAGUAUAGUGAUAGAAUAUUUAAUUAAAGUUUUAAAUUUUUAAUAGAAAAAUUAAUUUUUUGUACCUUGUGUAUCAGGGUUUAUUAAAUAAGUUUUAAUUAUUUAAGGUUCUCGAAUUUAAAAGAGUUAUUUAAUAAUAGAUUUUAUUGUGAAAUAAAUAUUUAAAAUUAUUAAAUAGAAAUGAAACGUUAGUCGUUUUUAAAUAUAUCUAGUUUUUUAAGAAAAAAAUUUAAUUUUAUUAUAAAAAUAUAUAAGUUUAAUUUUUUAAUUUUAUAUUUUUUAUUUUAUAUUUUUAAUGGGAUAAGCUUUUAAAAAUAUUAAUAUAAUUAAAUUUAAUAAUAAUAAAUUGUGGGAUUAUAGAUGUCUAUCAUUAAAAAAAUGUUAUAAUUGAUUAUUAUGUAAUUAUUAUUUAUAUUUAAUUUAUAUUUUUUAUUAAAGUAUUAAUUUAAACGUUAAAUAUUAAGAGAUUAUGAUAAAAUUAGUAUAAUUAUUUGUUUAGUUAAAUUUUAAGAUUAAGGUUAUUUUAAGGAAUUCGGCAAAUAUUUUUCUCACCUGUUUAUUAAAAACAUGUCCUUUUGAUAAUAAUUUAAGGUCUAAUCUGCCCACUGAAAAUUUUAAAUGGCCGCGGUAUUUUGACCGUGCAAAGGUAGCAUAAUCAUUAGUUUUUUAAUUGAAAGCUGGUAUGAACGAUUGAAUGAGGAAAAAGCUGUCUCAAUUUAAUUUAUUUAGAAUUUUAUUUUUAAGUUAAAAAGCUUAAAUAAUUUUAAAAGACGAGAAGACCCUAUAGAGUUUUAUAUUUAUUUUAUAAAGUUAAUUUAAGAUUGUAGUUUAAUUUUAUAAAAUAAGUAUUUUGUUGGGGUGACAGAAAAAUUAAAUAAACUUUUUUUAUAUUAGUACAUAUAUAUAUGAGUAUUUGAUCCAAAUUUUUUGAUUAUAAGAUAAAAUUACCUUAGGGAUAACAGCGUAAUUUUUUUUUAGAGUUCUUAUCGAAAGAAAAGAUUGCGACCUCGAUGUUGGAUUAAAGUUAAAUUUUGGUGUAGAAGCUAAAACUUUAGGUCUGUUCGACCUUUAAAACUUUACAUGAUCUGAGUUUAAACCGGUGUAAGCCAGGUUGGUUUCUAUCUUUAAUUAAAUAAAAUAUUUUAGUACGAAAGGACCAAAUAUUUAAUUAAAAAUUUAAUUAAUGAAUAAUAUUGUUAUUUUGGCAGAUUAGUGCAAUAGAUUUAGAAUCUUUUUAUGUAAAGAUUU